CCAUCUUCCCAGCCCGAGGAGGAGAGCCAACCUGGCCACGCCGCGUCCGCGUCCGCUGCCGGCUGCUGUCCACGCAGCCUUGGUGCGUGCAGCUGAGUGAGCUAGUGACAGCUGCUUUCCAGGGCGGGGCCACAUUUUGCUUCAUUUGGGCAGCUCCUUCCCUGAGCCCCGGACAAGGGACUGCAGGGCAGCGGCUUUCCAGCCUGCCGGCCGCUGAAACGCAACCACACAAAGGCGGGAGGAGGGAGCCCCUGGCAUUUACUGAGGCUCAGAAAACUGUCAGCAAAUCAGGCCCUCGCGCCUGGACUCCCCGGCUGCCGUGUUUUACAACGCUGAAGUCAGCAUCUUGAUUCAGCUGCAUAAAUAAUCUCACGGAGGCCUGCAGAGGCCUGGGGGAGGGGACAGAGAGGGGACCAAGGGACAUCUGUCAGGACUAGGAUGUAAGCCCCUGGGAAAAGGGACACGCCGACAGGGCUGCGCUCAACAGGAGGGAUCUGGCAGUUUUAUUUUAAGUUCUUCUAGACGAUUUCUAAAUCAUAUUGAUUUCAUAAUCAUAUUGAUCAUGUCACGUAGGUAAUCAAUCCUUAGCAAUUGUUAGGUAAAGGACUAAAGAAUUUACAAUCCGAUUGACUUUUAGGCAUGCUCUCUCUCUCCCUCUUUCCUUUCUUCAUUGUUAAUAUCAUUUCUAAUUAUAAUUUCUU
rnacentral:lncRNA from 1 species